rnacentral:rRNA from 1 species
AUACGGAGGGGGCUAGCGUUGUUCGGAAUCACUGGGCGUAAAGCGCACGUAGGCGGUUCGUUAAGUUGGGCGUGAAAGCCCGGGGCUCAACCCCGGAGGUGCGUUCGAAACUGGCGGACUAGAGUCCGGGAGAGGGUGGUGGAAUUCCCAGUGUAGAGGUAAAAUUCGUAGAUAUUGGGAAGAACACCAGUGGCGAAGGCGACCACCUGGUCCGGUACUGACGCUGAGGUGCGAAAGCGUGGGGAGCAAACAGGAUUAGAUACCCCGGUAGUCC